rnacentral:lncRNA from 1 species
CCCCAGAAGGACGAUCAGUCCGAGAGGACCAUUCAGAUUCUUGAGGAUAUGCUUCGAGCCUGCGUUAUUGAUUUUGGAGGCUCGUGAGACCAGUUUUUGCUGUUAGCGGAUUUUUCCUACAACAACAACUACCAGUCUAGUAUUUAGAUAGACAUGUAUGAGGCGUUGUAUGGUAGGCGAUCUCGGUCCCCGGUCGGAUGGUUUGAGCCGGGAGAGGAUCAUUUAUUGGGUACAGAUUUGGUACAGGAGGCCUUGGAUAAGGUCAAGUUCAUUCAGGACAAGACUUCAGUCAGCUCAGUCCAGGCAGAAUAGUGUUGCAGACCGUAAGGUCAGGGAUGUUUCCUUCAUGGUUGGUGAGCGUGUAUUGCUCCGUGUAUCGCCUAUGAUGAUGAGAUUCGGGAAGCAGGUCAAGCUUAGCCCAAGGUAUAUUGGCCCGUUUGAGAUUCUUGACCGUGUGGGAAAGGUGGCUUACAGACUUGCCUUGCCGCCUAGCUUGUCAGGUGUGCAUCCGGUUUUCCAUGUAUCCAUGCUUCAGAGAUAUCACGGUGAUCCCACCCACGUGUUAGAUUUCAGCACUGUCCAAUUGGAUAAGGGUCUGUCAUAUGAGGAGGAGCCGGUGGCUAUUUUUGAACGGCAGUUUUGACAGUUGAGGUCGCGGAGUUUUCCUUCAAUGCGUGUUCAGUGGAGAGCUCAGCCUCCUGGAUCUGUCAUAUGAGGAGGAGCCGGUGGCUAUUUUUGACCGGCAGGUUUGACAAUCGAGGUCGUGGAGUUUUCCUUCAGUGCGUGUUCAGUGGAGAGGUCAGCCUCCCGAGGCAUCAACCUAGGAGUCUGAGUCUGAUAUGCGGAGCCAUUAUCCCCAUCUAUUCCCCGACUCAGGUACUCCUUUCUUUUGUCCGUUCGAGGACUAAAUGUUGUUUUAGAGGUGGAGGAUGUGACGACCCAAAGGGUCAUCACCGUAAUUCUCCCUUUCCUUGAACUUCCAAGGCCUUGAAAACCUCUUAUUAGGUUACCUCGAUUGGCAUGCGCAGUCCGGGCGCGAAGACGAAAUUUUGUUUAUGUGAAAAUAUUGGAAUUCUGUGUUAAAAACUAUGAAUUUUUAUGAUAAUACUGAUAUGGUUGACUUCGAUCAAUA